CCAACGGGAAAGACUUCAACAUAAAAGUAAAUUUCCGUUCUUCCUGUUCCCGCGGCAGACGUAUGCUCGGUUGAAGCUGGAUUUAGAAAGGAUCAGCAGCGGUGCAUAUAUGAUAUUUUAAGGACAAGAAAUAUUGGACUAGACUAUUCCUUAUGUAGAUGUAGUGGAUAAGCUCUCCGUGUUGGGAUAGGCGUUCGGAUUUCCACAGCUAUUCUAAGAGCGUGCUGAAUCCAACCGUUGCACGUUCCCCCUUUGGCUAAACCACCACUUCAGGCUAACCCUUUUGCCUGGCUGGCACUUACUCAAGUUAGAGUUUUGCGCUCUCUCAAAACGCCUGCACGCCUGCGAGUGUUCUCCCCGGUCCUACAAAUUGAGCUUCCGAAAGGGGUGCUUGCUGGAGCAGCUCAACGAGAUGUGGGUUCAAUUCUCGCUAUGCCUCAUCCUAGUAGGUGUCUGCGCCAUUGGGCCAGCUAAACUUGCUCUGAUCUAGUGUGCGUCCGCUCCUGUUCGGGCUCACUCAGCAGAAAGCUAACUCUCUUCUCCUGCUUUAGCUUGAGCCCACCCGGACAGACUCUGGCAUGACACCCGUCACCAUACAUAGGU
rnacentral:lncRNA from 1 species